rnacentral:lncRNA from 1 species
CUGUCAUAAGAGCAAACAAAAUGCUAAGCUUUGCUUCCUAUCACUUCAGUUAGCCUGUGAUGUAAGUUGCGAGUCUUGCCUGCACCCUUUUUUUCCCCACAAAGGCAUUGACUAAUUCUCGGGCAGCACAGUGCAGAUGGAGACACUUCAGUGGACAUGUCUCCUGGGGCUCUUGUCCGUCCGAGCAGCACCUUCCUGGUCAGAAACACCUAUGGUCUCACAGAGCCCAAAAGCAAUUUCUCUUCUCAAGGUGCAUUCCACAGCUGAGAUAAGAUGUAAAUCCACCCUGCAUGACCCAGUUGGGCUCUACCUAAAGAGGCGCUUCUCCGAUGAUAAGCAAGUGCUGUAUUUGUCAGUUCCUAAGCUGCUCCUGACAUUUGGUAGAGGUUACGAACACAGGGUCUCUAUGACUGGCAAAUGCUGCAACUUUACCUUCCAAAUGUCACAGCUAAUGAUGGAUGACACAGAUGGCUACUAUUGCAGCUGGACACAGUUUGAUGUCAAAACAAAGGAAAUUACAGUCUACAAAAGCAAGGAAACCAUCAUCAUUGUCAGAGAUCCCAACGAGAACUGCAGCAGAAACAGCACCAUGGAAGGCAUCUUCUUCAUCCUGAGCCUGCCAGUGUUAGUAAUCGUAGUCAGCGUCAUCAUCGGAGCGGCAGUUUCGUACUGUACCAGGACUAAAGUGUACAGACCGGCAAAGGUACACCAGCACAGGCAACUGCUGUGUCCCCACCACAGUGACCAGCAGAGCCACAGCAGAAAAUUGAGAACAGAGAACCAGAACUGCACUUAGGAGGAAGCAGGAACAGCUAAAAACUCCUAUCUUCACUUCAAUGUCUCAAACAUGUGACUUUCUGUUCUCUUUCUUUUUUUUCUUUUUUUUUUUAACUAAAGUUAGUCUCUCCGUGUGCGCGCGUAUCUUAGCACAGGAAAAGGGGAUGGGGGGGCGGAUGUGAUGUCAGCUGUCUUUUGAUGUUUGAAAAGCAAAGUGCACAUUUAUUAGAAGCUAUGUACAUGCAUUACCUCAUAUGUGUUCUACUUUCAGUUAUCACAUGUAAAAAAUAAACACAGGUG